GAUGAACGCUGGCGGCGUGCCUAAUACAUGCAAGUCGAGCGAACGGACGCGAAGCUUGCUUCUCUGAUGUUAGCGGCGGACGGGUGAGUAACACGUGGAUAACCUACCUAUAAGACUGGGAUCACUUCGGGAAACCGGAGCUAAUACCGGAUAAUAUUUUGAACCGCAUGGUUCAAAAGUGAAAGACGGUCUUGCUGUCACUUAUAGAUGGAUCCGCGCUGCAUUAGCUAGCUGGUAAUGUAACGGCUUACGAAGGCAACGAUGCAUAACCGACCUGCGGGGGGGAUCGGGCACAGUGGAGGUGAGACACGGUCCAGGGUCCUACGGGAGGCAGCAGUAGGGAAUGGUCCGCGAUGGGCGAAAGCCUGACGGAGCAACGGAGGGUUAGUGAUGAAGCGCCGCGGAUCGGAAAACGCUGUUAGUAGGGAAGAACAUAUGUGUAAGUAACUGUGCACAUCUUGACGGUACCGAAGCAGAAAGCCACGGCUAACUACGU
rnacentral:rRNA from 1 species